AUUGCCCUAGUAACGGCGAGUGAAGCGGCAACAGCUCAAAUUUGAAAUCUGGCUUCGGCCCGAGUUGUAAUUUGCAGAGGAUGUUUCUGGCGCGGUGCCUUCCGAGUUCCCUGGAACGGGACGCCACAGAGGGUGAGAGCCCCGUAUGGUUGGACACUAAGCCUGUGUGAAACUCCUUCGACGAGUCGAGUAGUUUGGGAAUGCUGCUCAAAAUGGGAGGUAAAUCUCUUCUAAAGCUAAAUACCGGCCAGAGACCGAUAGCGCACAAGUAGAGUGAUCGAAAGAUGAAAAGCACCUUGAAAAGGGGGUUAAACAGUACGUGAAAUUGUUGAAAGGGAAGCACUUGUGACCAGACUUGUGCCGUGCGGCUCAUCCGGGGUUCUCCCCGGUGCACUCCGCGCGGUAUAGGCCAGCAUCGGUUCUUUCUGGGGCAUAAGAACAGCAGGAACGUGGCCCUCCUUCGGGAGGGUGUUAUAGCCUGUUGUACGAUACCCUGGAGGGGACCGAGGUUCGCGCUCCGCAAGGAUGCUGGCGUAAUGGUUACCAGUGACCCGUCUUGAAACACGGACCAAGGAGUCGUCCAUUAGAGCGAGCGUUUGGGUGUAAAACCCGCACGCGUAAUGAAAGUGAAAUUAGGUGAGAGCUUCGGCGCAUCAUCGACCGAUCCUGAUGUUCUCGGAUGGAUUUGAGUAAGAGUUUUAACGGACGGACCCGAAAGACAGUGAACUAUGCUUGUAUAGGGUGAAGCCAGAGGAAACUCUGGUGGAGGCUCGCAGCGGUUCUGACGUGCAAAUCGAUCGUCAAAUAUGAGCAUGGGGGCGAAAGACUAAUCAANCUUUA
rnacentral:rRNA from 1 species